rnacentral:sRNA from 1 species
CUAUAUCUACUUGUCUACUUUAUUAAAACACUAUAUAAUUAAAAUAAAAUACUCGCAACGGUAGGCCCCAGCAGAUUGGCGCUUCCAGCCACCUUUUCCACCGCAAGAAGCUCAAAGAGCACUCCAGAGACACAAUGUUCUCACUUCUCGCACCCAUCUAUCAACCUUGAAAACCCCCUUGUAUAGCUCAGAACCACUUAAAGCGUUUACACAGCAGAAACACCCCAACGCACAAGUCCCUUGGCGAUGCUGUCGAUUUUGGCAUCUCUUUGGCAAGGUAGUUUACAAUGACGUCAGGAUGCACCCAGGCUUUGGGAUCCACCCUGAGACACUAAGAUUGUAGAAGAAGAAAAAACAGUAACCAUGCUCCUAAUAAGAUGAGAUUGUUUUUUGUUUCUUUGCAGAGACUUCACUCAUCGUGAGUUUUGUAAUUUAUUUACUUUGAGAUCAGCAUUUGAUUUAUCUAAAGGCCAAUAAGAUCUCCAUAUUAAAUCCGCGCC